rnacentral:misc_RNA from 1 species
AAUUGAAGCUCGAAGAAUUCAGAUUUUUUUGCAGAAGCUUGUACGAGAAACUGUGGUGAUGAAGGGAUUAUUAGGGAGAUUGAUAACGCGAACGAAUCUCCGGAGCUGUAGAUUGUUAACAAAAACCCAUGUAGAAAAUGGUUCACUUUCCACAUCUCGUCGAUUCCUUUAUGCUUUAUCUUCCAAUACGCCGUAUGUGUUCUCUGAUUUCACUUCGCUAAAGCCUUCAAAGUUUCCUUCUUCAUGCCCGACAUUAUGGAGCCAUUUUGGAGGCCAGAAGAGGACCAUGUUUAUCCAAACUCAAUCAACUCCGAAUCCGUUAUCCCUAAUGUUCUAUCCUGGGAAGCCAGUUGUGGAAACUGGGAGUGCAGACUUUCCAAAUGCUCGUUCUGCCAUGAAUUCACCUCUGGCGAAGGCCCUCUUUGGAAUAGAUGGGAUUACACGCGUAUUUUUUGGAUCAGAUUUUAUUACUGUAACAAAAAGUGAAGAAGCAUCCUGGGAUUUCCUCAAACCUGAAAUAUUUGCAGCAAUUAUGGAUUUCUAUUCCUCCGGGAACCCAGUAUUCCUCGACUCCAGUACUGCAGCCUCCAUGGAUACAGCUAUCCAUGAGGAUGAUUCAGAAACAGUGGCAAUGAUCAAGGAACUUUUAGAGACUCGCAUUCGUCCAGCUGUACAAGAUGAUGGUGGGGACAUUGUAUACCGAGGAUUCGAUCCAGAUACAGGAGUAGUCAAAUUGAAAAUGCAAGGAGCAUGUAGUGGUUGUCCUAGCUCAUCGGUUACCCUUAAAUCUGGUAUCGAGAAUAUGCUCAUGCAUUAUGUGCCCGAGGUUAAAAGUGUGGAACAGGAACUGGAUGAAGACGAACAACCUGCAUUAACCGGGGCAGCACACGAGUAGUAUUACUGUUAUAGUUUCCUUCAGUUGAGUUGAUUUGCUGAGAGAGAGAUCUCAAUUAGGUGGAGACAGGACUUGUUCAUGCUCCUCCAUGGAAAGAGUGAGUAAAGUUGGAUAGUAGUUUUGAUGACAUCCUAAUAAAUAGUUCGAAUCAAG